AUACUUACCUGGCAGGGGAGAUACCAUGAUGAUGAAGGUGGUUCACCCAGGGCGAGGCUCAGCCAUUGCACUCCGGCUGUGCUGACCCGUGCGAAUUCCCCAAAUGUGGGAAUCUCGACUGCAUAAUUUGUGGUAGUGGGGGACUGCGUUCGCGCUCUCCCCUG
rnacentral:snRNA from 1 species